CAGUAGCCGCGGGAAUACGUAGGUGGCAAGCGUUGUCCGGAAUUAUUGGGCGUAAAAGGCUCGCAGGCGGUUUCUUAAGUCUGAUGUGAAAGCCCCCGGCUCAACCGGGGAGGGUCAUUGGAAACUGGGAAACUUGAGUGCAGAAGAGGAGAGUGGAAUUCCACGUGUAGCGGUGAAAUGCGUAGAGAUGUGGAGGAACACCAGUGGCGAAGGCGACUCUCUGGUCUGUAACUGACGCUGAGGAGCGAAAGCGUGGGGAGCGAACAGGAUUAGAUACCCGAGUAGUCCCUGUCUCUUAUAC
rnacentral:rRNA from 1 species